rnacentral:rRNA from 1 species
AGCGAACGUUAGCGGCAGGCCUAACACAUGCAAGUCGAGCGAGAAAGGGGCUUCGGCCCUGAGUAGAGCGGCGGACGGGUGCGUAACACGUGGAUAAUCUGCCCUUCGGCGGGGGAUAACAGUCCGAAAGGAUUGCUAAUACCGCAUACGACAGCGGGGUCUAUGACUUUGCUGAGAAAGGGGGCGCCCGCAAGGGGCUCUCACCGGAGGAUGAGUCCGCGGCCCAUCAGCAGUUGGCGGGGUAAGUGGCCCACCAAGGCAGAGACGGGUAGCUGGUCUGAGAGGAUGAUCAGCCACACUGGGACUGAGACACGGCCCAGACUCCUACGGGAGGCAGCAGUGGGAAUAUUGGGCAAUGGGCGCAAGCCUGACCCAGCCAUGCCGCGUGAGUGAUG